GCCCUCGUAGCUCAGUGGAUAGAGCACCGGACUUCUAAUCCGAUGGUCGCAGGUUCGAAUCCUGCCGGGGGCACCG
rnacentral:tRNA from 1 species